UCGGGUAGCAAAGCAGAAAAAAGCCAGCCCUGCAGACCUGAAGCAAGGGAGGAGGAGAGGAAAAGGAGAAAGGCUCCUGCCAAGGGUGGACCAUAGGGCAGGGAGCCCUAAAGGUGUGGCAAGCAUCUUCCGGGCAGGAAAGGCCAAAGUGAGCGCCAGUCUGAGGGACCAAGAAAGGAACAGGAGGGCAAGAACUCUCCCCUCAGUGGGGUUCAUGGAGAACCCCACACCCGGUGUAUCCGGCCUGGAUUCCACAAAGAAGCACAAAGGAAAAAGGGACAGGCUCUCAACCUUCCCUAAAGAGAAUUACUUCCACAGAGCAGGAAAAUUUAUCAGCAAAUGAUGGUGAAGCCUGCCUGCAGCCUCUCAGAAAGGAGGUAAUGGACUACGGGUACAGAGUGACACAUACUUUCAGCCUGUGGCCCGCUUGUGGGGCCUGAGAAGGCUCAGGCAUGGUGGCCACAGCCAACAGCGUUCCUGCGAGAGUGACCCUCCCAACUGGAGGGUCUGGGAUGAGAUGAUGCCAUGGAGACAGCUGAGGAGGCCACAGAGCCCGCCGAGGCAGACAUCACAGGGCUGUGCCAGGACGUGUUCUCCAAAAUGGCCACGCACCUGAUGGGCAAGCUGACAGCCUAUAAACUUCUGGAAAAUAUGAACAAACUGACUAACUUGAAGUAUCUAGAAAUGAAGGAUAUUGCAGUAAACAUGCGCAGAAACCUAAAGAACUUAAGCCACCAAUCUGCAGCACUUUGGCCUCAUCGGGAUCAGAUCUCUUUCACUGAGGAGCAAGCAGCAGCUCUUGAGCGAACAGCCUACAAGCUGGACCCGUAUUCAAAGAAGCAAAGUACAAGAAGUUAGAGAGGCCAGGAAGGAAUUCUUUAGCACAAAGACUUUAACUACAAGAAUGUUUCAUAAGAGCUGAAAUAAGUGGGAUGGAACUUAUCACUAUGCUUCAAUUCCUAAAAGGAAGCGGUGCUGCUGAUCCAAGGAGAAUCCCAGCCCCCACCUCUGGUUGGAUGUGCAACUUGGGCUGCCCCUUGAGGUUUCCUCAACCUGUAGCCCCUGGAACCUCAUCUCAUCGUGUGCUUCAUUGUGUGCCCUGGACCAAGGCUCAGAGAUCAGGAUCUACCCAGUUUAGAGCAGACACAGAGGAGAGGCUGUGGGCUCCCUGUCUCCUCCCUUCUCUCCUCUCCCCUAGGGCUCCACCUUGUACUCUGUUAUGAAUAUGGCCCCCACCCACUUCAUAACCUGUUCUUCAACUUAAAUAAUAAAUGCUGACUUAUGACCCUCAAAAAAAA